UCUGGUACAGCUAAUAGUCAUGUGAUGCUAUGAACCUUUUCAUCUAAACUAGAGUGGUAAAAGGAGGGGCUUCAUAUUUUAUCUUAGAUUUGGACAUCGACGCAUCUUUAAUAUGAGACUUUUCUAUGUACUUCUGCUUUUGAGCAUUGUUUGCUUUGAGAACAGUGACUCAGAGAAUGGGACAUGUCAGGAAGGUUAUGGAAACAUUUUCAUUCCUAUCAUCGCAAUUCUCUGUGAAGCAUUACUGCUUUCUUUUGCCGUAAAUGUAUACUUCAUUUGCAUGAGAAGAUAUAGAGACUCGUGCCAGAACUUUUACAGUAUGUAACUUUUAUUUUAUUACCACUACGAAAUAAAUGUCAUUAGAUAUUACAAUAAAAAUUACAAUAAUUAUCAUAUGCUAUUUUGCCUAUUUUUUAAGAUAAUUAUAUUGCUAUCUGGUGCAGUCGUGGAACAGCAAAUGAGCCUGAGCAAUCAGAUGACCAGCUUCCAGACGACACACAGUACUCUCUGAUUGUUUCCAAAGACAGAGAGCAUGAGGAACAAACAGAAGUGAACCCCCCUGAGUGUGUAUACUCUGCUGUGAAACCCUAGAAAAGAUUCGACCUCAUCAAAAACGUAUGCUUAAAUUGGUGAUAUAUUCUGCUUUUUUCCCCUCUCUUUCUCUGUUAUUGUUUUUGCAUUUUUGUUUUCAUUGUCAUUUAAUCUGUCUGUAAUUUAUAUUUAAGCAGAUGCUGUGGAAAAAAAUAAAUAAAAUCAAGAUGCUUGUGGACUACUGUCCCAGCACAAGAGUCAAAGAGCUGAAGUCUAGUGGAUUGUUUAUUGUAUAACCACCGCACAGUUUACCAAUUUUGAAUGGACAAUGAUAGUAGUUUUUGGUUGUUAAUUAGUUGCAUUAGUAGUGCAGUAGUUUGCUCUUGGCAUCUGAGUUCACUGUUGCUUAUCGGUUGGUAUCUGUAUCUUCUGGCUAAAUGCAAUUGAGCAAUUAACAUAUUUUUGUGCUAUAUGUGCGGUUACAUGAGAAGCAUGUGCUUCAAAGAAAUUGGUUGCUGUCAGCAGUUCAAAACAUAGCAGAUGCAUUUUACUAUUGAUUUAGCCUUUGUGUAAAGUAGGCUUUAAUGUGAUGUAGGUUUUUGUUUUUGAUCAGUUUUUUUGUUUGUUGAUUUUUUUUUAAUCAUACGUCUGAAAUUUUGAUUUCAUCCAGGCCAGCGCAGAAUUUAAUGUACUGAUGUUGUAAAUUUACAAUUUAACAAGUCUAUUUAAAAUGAAAGGUUAUGUGUUGUGACUGAAAUGCUCAUGUUUUGGUGACAAUAAAUGGUUAACAGCACAAGGUUUGUCGUUGCCUGCAAUCUCAAAGCUCACCUUAUGAGGGCAGCAGAAAUCAUAAAAUUUAAAAUGGUUGAAAAAACGAUUUGACUAUACUUGAAUAUAAUGAGCUGAUUGCUAUACUAAAUUGUACGCUAGUCUUACAAUAUGAUUGUGAUUUUUAAAAGUAUUACACUAGAGAUUGGAUGGCCAAAGUCAUAAAGAGAUGGUGAUAGCUGCUAAAAUGCGUUCAACACUUUCUGUGCUUUAUCAAGUUUCCUGAGCAUUGUCAGAUGAAUUGUGAAAUUAUUUAGCCAGUGAACACAGAAAGAUCUGCCACAUCAGAUGAACAUCACAGUCUCCUGAAGCUCUCAGACGGCGGCUUCUCUCAUGACUGUGUUCUUUGAAUCUGCUGGAUGACUCAGGAUUUGCAUGCUUGACCCCAGACCUGACAGACAGUGUUAUCAUAUGCAUUACCAGCAGGCCGGAAUAAAACCAGUCAAGACAAAAGGUCACCCUAGUCUUACAGUUUUACUUCUGCUUUUUUCAUUUAUGAACGGCCUGCGAUAUGUUCACACAUAACAGUAACAGAAAAAAAAAAAAGAACAAUAUAUAUUUUUAUUAGUGGUGGAAAGAGUACUAAGAAAUU